GACAGAGGGUGCAACCGUUGUUCGGAAUUACUGGGCGUAAAGCGCAUGUAGGCGGCCUAGCAGGUCGGAUGUGAAAUCCCUCGGCUCAACCAAGGAAGUGCAUUCGAAACCGCAAGGCUGGAGUUCCGGAGAGGAUGGUGGAAUUCUCGGUGUAGAGGUGAAAUUCGUAGAUAUCGAGAGGAACACCGGCGGCGAAGGCGGCCAUCUGGACGAGGACUGACGCUGAGAUGCGAAAGCGUGGGGAGCAAACAGG
rnacentral:rRNA from 1 species